rnacentral:lncRNA from 1 species
UGAAGCACCUACAUGUCUGAUGUCUUUAGAGGUCAGAAGAGGGCGCUGGAUGCUCCAGGAACUAGUUACAGACAGAUGGUUGUGAACCACCACGGCCUUCUCCUUGAAAAUUUUCAAGCCAGUCUGGGUGUUAUCCUCCUGAGUCUACUUUUGAAGGAGCCAAUACAUACAGCCAAAGGAUUCCUGUGUGCUCAUGUUUCCUGUGUAAACCAAUCAGAAGGCACCUUGGCAAAGACAGAUCUUUACAGCAUACAAAAAGAUUAUUCCACAACAGUGGAUGCUAUUCCUGUUAUUUGGAAUGGGCUUCUGGUUAUUCAAUGGACUUCUCUGUGUUCAAGAUUCACCACGCACAGCUCUGCCCUCACCUGAAAGCCACUGUAGGUUCCUAAUUGUAUAGGAAAGUUUUGGACAAGAUUUAGAUGCUUAUUCCUUAUACAGCAUCUAAAUCUUGUCCAAAACUUUCCUAUACAAUUAGGAACCUACAGUGGCUUUCAGGUGAGGGCAGAGCUGUGCGUGGUGAAUCUUGAACACAGAGAAGUCCAUUGAAUAACCAGAAGCCCAUUCCAAAUAACAGGAAUAGCAUCCACUGUUGUGGAAUAAUCUUUUUGUAUGCUGUAAAGAUCUGUCUUUGCCAAGGUGCCUUCUGAUUGGUUUACACAGGAAACAUGAGCACACAGGAAUCUAGAGUAAGGAGAAAAGAAAAUUUAAGAAAGAACUUUUAAAAUCUUGGGGAGAUCAUGACAUUUAUAAAACAAGCUAAAGAGAAGCUGGGAAGCUAUGACGAAAGCCAAAUGAGGAUGCAGCCUUCUUCUGCCAUAGUGGGGUCCUUAAGUGGCUGUUGAGAGAAUGUCAAAGCAACCCAGAAACACUAAAGGGACUGCUAACUGGAUCCUUUUUCUACUGAUUCCCUGACCCCUAGAUUUGUGGCUAUCUUUCUGAUGCUGAUCCUACCCUUUGUUCCCAAGAAUAAGUUCCAGAAGUCUGGCAGAGCAAAUGGGUGAUUACCUCUGGAUUGCAUAAUGGAAGCUUCCAAGAGAAGGGAUCGCCCUGUGCUUAUUUAUGCCUUUCCAAUAGCUUUGGCCAGGGAAGAGUCUGUUUGCAGCCAUCAGCAAUAACCUUAGAGACUCAUGUGCUCAAAGUACAGAGAAGCAAUGACUGUUGAAUAGACAUAAAUGAGACAUCUGUAUCAUUUCCUCUAAGGCUCAGGAGACACUAUGGAAGACAGGGCGAGACAGGGCAGGAGCCAGAGGAAGCGUGGGGGCAGAAGGAGUUGUGAAACUCUGAAUUCUGGGUAUGGCAUGUCUGUGGUUCUCUUGAACUCAUAGCACCCAAGAUGACUUGCACAAGAUCUCCACAAGACUGGACCCAGCAACAUUCUGGCAUGGAGGGAGAGGCUCCUGGGAUACUCCCUACCCACUGAGUUAAUGGUUGACUGGGGAGGGAGAGAUAUUUUCUUAAGUGGUGUAGCCAUUGGUAAGGAUCCCAUGCUCCUGUAAGCAAUUCUUAUCCAUACUUCUAUAAAGAACUCUAAUGAAAGUGAUUGGGAGAGCACACACACACACACAGACAC